UUAAAGUUCAUAAAAGAAUCCAUACUGGGGAGAGGCCCUAUGAAUGUGAUGUGUGUGGAAAAGCCUACAUCUCACACUCAAGCCUUAUUAACCAUAAGAGUACCCACCCUGGCAGGACACCCCAUACAUGUGAUGAAUGUGGAAAAGCUUUUUUCUCAAGCAGAACUCUUAUAAGCCAUAAAAGAGUCCAUCUUGGGGAGAAACCCUUCAAGUGUGUUGAGUGUGGGAAAUCUUUCAGUUACAGCUCUCUCCUUUCUCAGCACAAGAGGAUCCACACAGGGGAGAAACCCUAUGUGUGUGAUAGGUGUGGGAAGGCCUUCAGGAACAGCUCAGGCCUCACAGUGCAUAAAAGGAUCCACACAGUUUCAGAUGAACUCCCAUAAUGAAUGAUGAAUUUGUGAUGAGGGAUAACCUGGAAGUGGUAUUCACACAUUAUGCUACAAUAAAAGGUUCUACCGUGGAGAGGAUUUUGACACAUUCAGUAACUAAUGGAACACACCGUCAACAUGAAUUCGCAC
rnacentral:lncRNA from 1 species